rnacentral:rRNA from 1 species
AACGAACGCUGGCGGCAGGCUUAACACAUGCAAGUCGAGCGCCCCGCAAGGGGAGCGGCAGACGGGUGAGUAACGCGUGGGAAUCUACCCAUCUCUACGGAAUAACGCAUGGAAACGUGUGCUAAUACCGUAUACGUCCUUCGGGAGAAAGAUUUAUCGGAGAUGGAUAAGCCCGCGUUGGAUUAGCUAGUUGGUGGGAUAAAGGCCUACCAAGGCGACGAUCCAUAGCUGGUCUGAGAGGAUGAUCAGCCACACUGGGACUGAGACACGGCCCAGACUCCUACGGGAGGCAGCAGUGGGGAAUAUUGGACAAUGGGCGCAAGCCUGAUCCAGCCAUGCCGCGUGAGUGAUGAAGGCCCUAGGGUUGUAAAGCUCUUUCACCGGUGAAGAUAAUGACGGUAACCGGAGAAGAAGCCCCGGCUAACUUCGUGCCAGCCGCCGCCGUAAAA